rnacentral:rRNA from 1 species
GACGAACGCUGGCGGCGUGCCUAACACAUGCAAGUCGAGCGAUGAAACCCUUCGGGGUGGAUUAGCGCCGGACGGGUGAGUAACACGUGGGUAACCUGCCUCAAAGAGGGGGAUAGCCUCCCGAAAGGGAGAUUAAUACCGCAUAAUAUUAGUUUUUCGCAUGAAGAACGAAUUAAAGGAGUAAUAGGGUUUGAGAUGGACCCGCGGCGCAUUAGCUAGUUGGUGAGGUAAAGGCUCACCAAGGCGACGAUGCGUAGCCGACCUGAGAGGGUGAUCGGCCACAUUGGAACUGAGACACGGUCCAGACUCCUACGAGAGGCAGCAGUGGGGAAUAUUGCACAAUGGGCGAAAGCCUGAUGCAGCAACGCCGCGUGAGUGAUGAAGGCCUUCGGGUUGUAAAGCUCUGUCUUUUGGGACGAUAAUGACGGUACCAAAGGAGGAAGCCACGGCUAACUACGUGCCAGCCGCCGCAGUAAGAC